CAUAUUACUAUAGUUCGCCGCCUCCUCCAAAGAAGUCUCCUCCACCUCCUUAUUAUUACAAGUCUCCACCGCCUCCAUCACCAUCACCACCGCCGCCUUAUUACUACAAGUCUCCUCCUCCUCCAUCACCAUCCCCUCCUCCUCCUUAUUACUAUAAAUCUCCACCACCACCAUCUCCUUCUCCUCCACCACCUUAUUAUUACAAGUCUCCACCACCACCCUCGCCAUCCCCUCCACCCCCAUACUACUAUAAAUCACCUCCGCCACCGUCUCCAUCGCCUCCUCCACCUUACUAUUACAAGUCACCACCACCACCGUCCCCUUCCCCACCCCCGCCGUACUACUCCACGUCACCACCGCCCCCCUCCACUUUCCACCACCAACCACCAUAUUAUUACAAGUCUCCACCGCCACCUUCACCUUCUCCUCCGCCACCAUACUACUAUAAAUCCCCACCACCACCAUCUCCAUCUCCUCCACCACCGUACUACUACAAGUCCCCACCACCACCAUCUCCAUCUCCUCCACCCCCAUACUACUACAAGUCUCCACCUCCGCCAUCACCUUCUCCUCCUCCGUACUACUACAAGUCUCCACCUCCACCAUCACCAUCUCCUCCUCCUCCUUACUACUACAAAUCGCCUCCACCACCUUCUCCUUCCCCACCGCCACCAUACUACUAUAAAUCCCCUCCGCCUCCGUCUCCAUCUCCUCCACCACCAUACUACUAUAAAUCCCCUCCACCGCCGUCUCCAUCUCCUCCUCCUCCGUACCACUACAAGUCGCCGCCACCACCAUCACCAUCUCCACCACCACCAUACUACUAUAAAUCUCCACCACCACCCUCUCCUUCCCCACCACCGCCGUACUAUUACAAAUCCCCACCACCAC
rnacentral:lncRNA from 1 species